rnacentral:sRNA from 2 species
AUAUAUCUGUUGUCUAAUCUCAAUUGAGAACGGGGGACCCAUUUUUGGGGCUAAUCUAUAUUUUAUAUAUAGAAGAAGACCUUUUACUUCUAGCCCGACAGCUAACUCCGUAGACCUAGUUAAAGGACAGA